AGAGUUUGAUCCUGGCUCAGAACGAACGGUGAUGGCGUGCUUCAUACAUGCAAGUCGAGCGCAGGUAGCAAUACUUGAGCGGCGAACGGGUGAGUAACGCGUGAACAAUCUGCCUAAAAGUGGGGGAUAACCAUUCCAACGGAUGGCUAAUACCGCAUAGGGUUCGAGAAGGGCAUCCUUCUUUAACGAAAGGCUUCGGCCGCUUUUGGAUGAGUUCGCGUCCCAUUAGCUAGUUGGCGGGGUAAUGGCCCACCAAGGCGACGAUGGGUAGCCGGCCUGAGAGGGUGUCCGGCCACAUUGGGACUGAGAUACGGCCCAGACUCCUACGGGAGGCAGCAGUAGGGAAUUUUGCGCAAUGGGGGAAACCCUGACGCAGCAACGCCAUGUGUGGGAUGACGCAUUUCGGUGUGUAAA
rnacentral:rRNA from 1 species